AGGGACUUCGGUCCUGAGUAGAGUGGCGCACGGGUGAGUAACACGUGGAUAACCUGCCCUAAGGUCUGGGAUAACAUUUCGAAAGGGAUGCUAAUACCGGAUAAGCCUACGCCCCCCUCGGGGGAAGUAGGAAAAGAUUUAUUGCCUUGGGAUGGGUCCGCGGUCCAUUAGCUAGUUGGUAGGGUAAUGGCCUACCAAGGCUUCGAUGGAUAGCUGGUCUGAGAGGAUGAUCAGCCACACUGGAACUGAGACACGGUCCAGACUCCUACGGGAGGCAGCAGUGGGGAAUUUUGCGCAAUGGACGAAAGUCUGACGCAGCAACGCCGCGUGAAGGAUGAAGGCCCUUGGGUCGUAAACUUCUGUCAGUGGGGAAGAAAUGCCCGUAAGGGAGAUGACGGUACCCACAAAGGAAGCACCGGCUAACUCCGUGCCAGCAGCCGCGGUAAUACGGAGGGUGCAAGCGUUGUUCGGAAUUAUUGGGCGUAAAGCGCGUGUAGGCGGUCUGUUAAGUCUGGUGUGAAAGCCCUGGGCUCAACCCAGGAAGUGCAUUGGAUACUGGCAGACUUGAGUAUGGGAGAGGAAAGCGGAAUUCCGAGUGUAGGAGUGAAAUCCGUAGAUAUUCGGAGGAACACCAGUGGCGAAGGCGGCUUUCUGGACCAAUACUGACGCUGAGACGCGAAAGCGUGGGGAGCA
rnacentral:rRNA from 1 species